GCCUCUGGGCACCUCCCCUCCCCCGCAGCUCUCACCCCCUCGGCAGGCCUCCUGCACCCCCUGACCAAAGAGACAAAAAUAAAAAAUGUAAAAGUCUAUCUAAAAACACACUAGAAGACUGAAAAUCAAGUUUGCAGCUACCAAUGUAGGAGAAAGAUACGAUGGCUAAGUACGGUUCAAGGUAGUUGCAAACCGGGUUCCAGGGAAAGGCCGCGGGGAGCCCGGGGAAUCCCCAGCUGACCCCGGGCCCCCAGCGACAUGCAGCAGCCCCUCCCCAAGUUAAGAAGAUGACAAUAUUUUCUGUGCUUUAUUUUCACAUUGAAUGUUUGUUUUAAGUUAAUAAAUGUUUGUUAGAGCACA